rnacentral:rRNA from 1 species
CGAACGGGUGCGUAACACGUGAGUCAUCUGCCUGAAAGUGGGGGAUAGCUCGCCGAAAGGCGAAUUAAUACCGCAUAUGCCCCGAAGCAAUUCGGGGUAAAGCCGGGGCAACCUGGCGCUUUUAGAGGAACUCGCGGCUAUCAGCUUGUUGGCGAGGUAAUGGCUCACCAAGGCAUUGAUCGGUAGCCGGACUGAGAGGUUGGCCGGCCACACUGGAACUGAGACACGGUCCAGACUCCUACGGGAGGCAGCAGUGGGGAAUCUUGCACAAUGGACGAAAGUCUGAUGCAGCAACGCCGCGUGGGGGAUGAAGCUUUUCGGAGUGUAAACCCCUUUCGACCCGGAAGAAUGCCCGCAAGGGUUUGACGGUACGGGUAUAAGAAGCCCCGGCUAACUACGUGCCAGCAGCCGCGGUAAUACGUAGGGGGCCAGCGUUGCUCGGAAUUACUGGGCGUAAAGGGUCUGUAGGCGGUGCGGCAAGUCGAUAGUGAAAUCCCUAGGCUUAACCUGGGGGCUGCUAGCGAAACUGCCGUGCUAGAGUGUGAGAGAGGCGAGUGGAAUUACGGGUGUAGCGGUGAAAUGCGUAGAUUCCCGUAGGAACAUCCGAGG